rnacentral:pre_miRNA from 1 species
UUAACUCUAAUUAGUAUGGAGUUGGAAUAGCUUCCCUUCGUUUGCACUCAGGGGCGCUGUCCCACCUCCAUACAAAUCUGAGUUA